rnacentral:rRNA from 1 species
AACGAACGCUGGCGGCAUGCCUAACACAUGCAAGUCGAACGAGACCUCCGUGUCUGGUUGCGCUCGGGUGCGUCACGUGGCGGAACCUGCCCUUAUGCUUGGAAAUCUUCUCUGACUGGGGUGCUAAUGUCGGGUAAUUUCCUCUGAUAAAAGAUUUAUCGUCGUUGGAUGGGCCCGCGUUCGAUUAGCUAGUUGGUAGGGUAAAAGCCUAUCAAGGCGACGAUCCAUAGCUGGUGUGAGAGGAUGAGCAGCCACACUGGGACUGAGACACGGCCCAGACUCCUACGGGAGGCAGCAGUGGGGAAUAUUGGACAAUGGGCGAAAGCCUGAUCCAGCAAUGCCGCGUGAGUGAUGAAGGCCUUAGGGUUGUAAAGCUCUUUUACCCGGGAGGAUAAUGACAGUACCGGGAGAAUAAGCUCCGGCUAACUCCGUG